rnacentral:rRNA from 1 species
CGGGGUGAGUAAUGUCUGGGAAACUGCCUGAUGGAGGGGGAUAACUGCUGGAAACGGUAGCUAAUACCGCAUAACGUCGCAAGACCAAAGAGGGGGACCUUCGGGCCUCUUGCCAUCGGAUGUGCCCAGAUGGGAUUAGCUAGUAGGUGGGGUAACGGCUCACCUAGGCGACGAUCCCUAGCUGGUCUGAGAGGAUGCCAGCCACACUGGAACUGAGACACGGUCAG